rnacentral:rRNA from 1 species
GAUGAACGCUAGCUACAGGCUUAACACAUGCAAGUCGAGGGGCAGCAUGGGCUUAGCUUGCUAAGCCCGAUGGCGACCGGCGCACGGGUGAGUAACACGUAUCCAACCUUCCGGUAACUCCGGUAUAGCCUUUCGAAAGAAAGAUUAAUCCCGGAUAGUAUGGUGAUUCCGCAUGGUUUCUCCAUUAAAGGAUUCCGGUUACCGAUGGGGAUGCGUUCCAUUAGGCAGUUGGCGGGGUAACGGCCCACCAAACCUACGAUGGAUAGGGGUUCUGAGAGGAAGGUCCCCCACAUUGGAACUGAGACACGGUCCAAACUC